rnacentral:rRNA from 2 species
UUAAGCGACUAAGCGUACACGGUGGAUGCCCUGGCAGUCAGAGGCGAUGAAGGACGUGCUAAUCUGCGAUAAGCGUCGGUAAGGUGAUAUGAACCGUUAUAACCGGCGAUUUCCGAAUGGGGAAACCCAGUGUGUUUCGACACACUAUCAUUAACUGAAUCCAUAGGUUAAUGAGGCGAACCGGGGGAACUGAAACAUCUAAGUACCCCGAGGAAAAGAAAUCAACCGAGAUUCCCCCAGUAGCGGCGAGCGAACGGGGAGCAGCCCAGAGCCUGAAUCAGUGUGUGUGUUAGUGGAAGCGUCUGGAAAGGCGCGCGAUACAGGGUGACAGCCCCGUACACAAAAAUGCACAUGCUGUGAGCUCGAUGAGUAGGGCGGGACACGUGGUAUCCUGUCUGAAUAUGGGGGGACCAUCCUCCAAGGCUAAAUACUCCUGACUGACCGAUAGUGAACCAGUACCGUGAGGGAAAGGCGAAAAGAACCCCGGCGAGGGGAGUGAAAAAGAACCUGAAACCGUGUACGUACAAGCAGUGGGAGCAGUGGGAGCACGCUUAGGCGUGUGACUGCGUACCUUUUGUAUAAUGGGUCAGCGACUUAUAUUCUGUAGCAAGGUUAACCGAAUAGGGGAGCCGAAGGGAAACCGAGUCUUAACUGGGCGUUAAGUUGCAGGGUAUAGACCCGAAACCCGGUGAUCUAGCCAUGGGCAGGUUGAAGGUUGGGUAACACUAACUGGAGGACCGAACCGACUAAUGUUGAAAAAUUAGCGGAUGACUUGUGGCUGGGGGUGAAAGGCCAAUCAAACCGGGAGAUAGCUGGUUCUCCCCGAAAGCUAUUUAGGUAGCGCCUCGUGAAUUCAUCUCCGGGGGUAGAGCACUGUUUCGGCAAGGGGGUCAUCCCGACUUACCAACCCGAUGCAAACUGCGAAUACCGGAGAAUGUUAUCACGGGAGACACACGGCGGGUGCUAACGUCCGUCGUGAAGAGGGAAACAACCCAGACCGCCAGCUAAGGUCCCAAAGUCAUGGUUAAGUGGGAAACGAUGUGGGAAGGCCCAGACAGCCAGGAUGUUGGCUUAGAAGCAGCCAUCAUUUAAAGAAAGCGUAAUAGCUCACUGGUCGAGUCGGCCUGCGCGGAAGAUGUAACGGGGCUAAACCAUGCACCGAAGCUGCGGCAGCGACGCUUAUGCGUUGUUGGGUAGGGGAGCGUUCUGUAAGCCUGUGAAGGUGUACUGUGAGGUAUGCUGGAGGUAUCAGAAGUGCGAAUGCUGACAUAAGUAACGAUAAAGCGGGUGAAAAGCCCGCUCGCCGGAAGACCAAGGGUUCCUGUCCAACGUUAAUCGGGGCAGGGUGAGUCGACCCCUAAGGCGAGGCCGAAAGGCGUAGUCGAUGGGAAACAGGUUAAUAUUCCUGUACUUGGUGUUACUGCGAAGGGGGGACGGAGAAGGCUAUGUUGGCCGGGCGACGGUUGUCCCGGUUUAAGCGUGUAGGCUGGUUUUCCAGGCAAAUCCGGAAAAUCAAGGCUGAGGCGUGAUGACGAGGCACUACGGUGCUGAAGCAACAAAUGCCCUGCUUCCAGGAAAAGCCUCUAAGCAUCAGGUAACAUCAAAUCGUACCCCAAACCGACACAGGUGGUCAGGUAGAGAAUACCAAGGCGCUUGAGAGAACUCGGGUGAAGGAACUAGGCAAAAUGGUGCCGUAACUUCGGGAGAAGGCACGCUGAUAUGUAGGUGAAGUCCCUCGCGGAUGGAGCUGAAAUCAGUCGAAGAUACCAGCUGGCUGCAACUGUUUAUUAAAAACACAGCACUGUGCAAACACGAAAGUGGACGUAUACGGUGUGACGCCUGCCCGGUGCCGGAAGGUUAAUUGAUGGGGUCAGCGCAAGCGAAGCUCUUGAUCGAAGCCCCGGUAAACGGCGGCCGUAACUAUAACGGUCCUAAGGUAGCGAAAUUCCUUGUCGGGUAAGUUCCGACCUGCACGAAUGGCGUAAUGAUGGCCAGGCUGUCUCCACCCGAGACUCAGUGAAAUUGAACUCGCUGUGAAGAUGCAGUGUACCCGCGGCAAGACGGAAAGACCCCGUGAACCUUUACUAUAGCUUGACACUGAACAUUGAGCCUUGAUGUGUAGGAUAGGUGGGAGGCUUUGAAGUGUGGACGCCAGUCUGCAUGGAGCCGACCUUGAAUACCACCCUUUAAUGUUUGAUGUUCUAACGUUGACCCGUGAUCCGGGUUGCGGACAGUGUCUGGUGGGUAGUUUGACUGGGGCGGUCUCCUCCUAAAGAGUAACGGAGGAGCACGAAGGUUGGCUAAUCCUGGUCGGACAUCAGGAGGUUAGUGCAAUGGCAUAAGCCAGCUUGACUGCGAGCGUGACGGCGCGAGCAGGUGCGAAAGCAGGUCAUAGUGAUCCGGUGGUUCUGAAUGGAAGGGCCAUCGCUCAACGGAUAAAAGGUACUCCGGGGAUAACAGGCUGAUACCGCCCAAGAGUUCAUAUCGACGGCGGUGUUUGGCACCUCGAUGUCGGCUCAUCACAUCCUGGGGCUGAAGUAGGUCCCAAGGGUAUGGCUGUUCGCCAUUUAAAGUGGUACGCGAGCUGGGUUUAGAACGUCGUGAGACAGUUCGGUCCCUAUCUGCCGUGGGCGCUGGAGAACUGAGGGGGGCUGCUCCUAGUACGAGAGGACCGGAGUGGACGCAUCACUGGUGUUCGGGUUGUCAUGCCAAUGGCACUGCCCGGUAGCUAAAUGCGGAAGAGAUAAGUGCUGAAAGCAUCUAAGCACGAAACUUGCCCCGAGAUGAGUUCUCCCUGACUCCUUGAGAGUCCUGAAGGAACGUUGAAGACGACGACGUUGAUAGGCCGGGUGUGUAAGCGCAGCGAUGCGUUGAGCUAACCGGUACUAAUGAACCGUGAGGCUUAACCUU